UGUGAGUCCCCCUAUAGCCUGGUGGCCCGGCCGUCCUGGCCCUCCCUGGCCAGCCAUCCACCACCACCUUCACCCGGCAGCCGUCCACCACCACCUUCACCCGGCAGCCGCUGCAGCGGAACAAUGGGAGGAUCACAGGCUACGCGAUAUUCCUCACCACGGACCAAACUGUCAGUGACUGGGUGACGGGGGAAGUGACGGGGGACUGGCUCACCCUCACCGUCCAUGGACUGACGGCUUCAAGGAAGUAUUUGCACAAGAUGCACUCUCACAAUGUCAAAGGUUUUGGUCCAUUCUCCUCCGUGGAAAGCUUCACGACUUCCAGCUGUUGACAAGAGCAUCGGUGAGCCCCUGGCUGGUGUGUGGAGCGAGAGGCCUGAUUGUGCUGGUGAUCGCUGGCGUGGCAGGAGCCAUGACCAGCUGGGGGCCUUCUUGGCCACCACACUGUACUGCCGCGGGUCAAGGCGGAGCCCAGGCCAAGCAUUGUUGUUGGCGGCAGCUGCAGUGAGAGCAACAAGCCUGGCGUCCAGCCUCCAGACCUGUGGAUCCAUCACGGCCACUUGGAGCUGAAGAACUUUGACAAGGGUGAGCGCAGCAACUCCCCCAACCACACCUCCAUCAUCCAGCACACAGCUGAAGAUCAACAACAAGGAGAUGACGGCGCUAGACCAGAUGCUUGGGGCACUCCUGGAGGCUCUGCAGGACAAGGCCAAGGAAACAAAGAGUGGCCAGGCUCUGGGACCGAGGCACAGAGAGCCAAGACGGCCGAGGGUUUAUCAAGACUGACAACAACGUGACGGUCAAAGUGUUAGAGGUGUCAGGUUCCUGCACAGGUGAACGAAGGUGGAGUCAUGGCUUUGGGGCGGCUCGCUAAAAAGAUCAGAUGAGCCACAAUGGGCGCAGGUCACCACAUGCGGGUCGGGGGUCACACAGCCACCGUUCACGACCUGACCCCUAAGAGUGGAUACCAGCUGUCUGGAGUGGACACAGAAGUGGAUUCCUUACAGCAUCGGGACUCCCUUUAAGAUCUCGGUCACCCUCGGAGUCUUGUCACUGGAAACUUCCCGAGGAGCUGCGUCGGCGCGUCACACUCCACCUCCAAGCUAACCCAGGACUGUCCCAGGCUGAGCUGCAUGACAUCCUAUACUAAGAUCGAACCCGCCUGCAACCUCAAGAUCAAGUACGGGUCACCCAAGCCUAGGAGACACCGUAGCCCUCGCCGAUCUAAGAGGCCUCAGCAUCACCAGACCUUGGGAGCAGCAGCAGCCCAGUGCCAACACCAGGCCACAGGACCCCAGGCUGCCCAGCACACUGCCAGUGCCGGGGAUCUUCAGACCCGUCUCCAGCCUUAGGGAAUGGAGGGCGGAGGGCUGCAGUGGCGGUGGCGGCUAUAGUAAUGUGUCAGCAAUAUUUUUUUUCUGCCUCUAGGUGUGGUAGUCUUUCUUGGUGGUGGGUCCCGUCGGCCAGCCCCAGCCCUCUAUAGUGCAGGGAAGUGUUUAUAGUGGCGCCACCUUGCCUGGAUCACUUCUGAUCCCCUCUUUUAGAGAGAGAAUCUAGAGUCUGGGUUGACAGGCGUCCACCAUGACAGCAUGUGGGUAGUGUUGGGCCACUCGGCAGUGACUGAAAAAUACUGUCUGUGGUGGUGGGAGGGACCCAAACCCUCAUCCUGCACUGGUGGUCACUUUUUGUGUCAAUUAUUUAUUAUUACUAUUAUUAUUAUUAUUAUUAUUAUUAUUAUUAUUAUUAUUAUUAUUAUUAUUAUUAUCUUUUUUAUGUCGUAGCCUAUAGCAGCGGCAGGCUUUGGUCAGUGGCCUGGCGGUGGGCCCGCGGUGUUUUCAGUGGCAGGGUUGUAAUUCCUGGGGCUGGAUAGAGAUUCCCAAAUAUCUUCUGCAUCGGCCUAAAAAUGCCCCGAAGAGUGCUGGGUUUUCAAAAUUUUCCCCACCUGAGGAUGCCUUCUAGACCCCCAAAAAUAUCUGCCAAAAUUAGUCCUGAGUGGUGGUGGUGGUGUUGAGAGUGUUAAUGACAGUGAUGAUAAGCAUUGUUAGGGGUGCUGGUGUGUAGUGAUGAAGUGGUGGUGAUGUCAGUCUGUGGUGGUGUUGAAAACUAGCCUCUUUUAAACGGUGAUGAGUGGUGGUGAACGGUGUUUACUGUACUGGUGGUGAUGAAAAUUGGUGUUGAUGGCCUUUGUGGAGGUGUUGAUGGCAGUGGUGAUGAAAUAUAGGCAUGUUUAGAGGUUCUGGUGUUGAUGGUGGAGGUACUUGUGUUGGUGGUGAUGAAAAUUGGUGUUAUAGCCCUGGUGGUGAUGAUCUCUAUACCUAAUGGUGUUGUAAAUAUGCAUCUUUAGUGGUGUGGCAGUGUUGAAGGCAGUGGUGAUGAAAAAUUGGUGUCCAGUGGUGUUGUGUGGUGGUGAAACAUGCAUCAACUCCACAUGCAAGACUUAACACCAUUUUUGUCCAUUCCAAAAUUUCAUGUAUAUCUAUUGCAGUUCAUUUUUAUUUUUAUUUAUUUUUAUUACUUCAACAGUAAAUUAGAAUGCUCAAGGUGAUGGAAAGGAAUGAAGAAAGAGAGAGACAGGAGAGGAUAAAAAUAGCUUAAUCUAUCUAUCCCACUCUUAUUCUGCAAGAUGUACAAUAGGGAACAUAGUCUUUCAUUACACCCAGUCCUUCAGCUCUUAAGGAUGGCUCCAGAGUCCAGUCUUAGCAGUUAAGUCCCCAAAGUCUUGUUCAUGUUAUUUUAGUGCCAGUGAGUGCCUGCUUACAGUGCCAAAGUGACCCUUUCUGUCCCUUCCCUUCCUAGCUCAUGGGAAGGUUGGUGUGAGAGAGAGAGAGAGUACAUACAUAGAAAGUCAGACCACACAGACCCCAUGGUCCAGACUAGGUGGUCUGUCCUUAAACCUAAGUGAUUCUACAUUAAUCAGAUGGCUCCAAAACGUUGCUUUUCUAUUCUAGUUAAUAUUAAGUUCAAGGAAGUGACGGUCGAGCUUGUUUUUAAAGGAGUCAAUUGUGUUACAUGUUAUUACACGAGAGAGAGAAUCAAAUAAACAUUAAACGAAAAUGAAAAAAAAGGGAGAGAGAGGGGGGAGGGGCCGUUCAUUAUCAUGGCUAUUAUUAUUAUUAUUAAGGGAGUCUAGUUGGUCAUUAUUAGCAUUUCCUAUCUUCCAUUUCCUUAUAUUGAUAAAAUUUGUAUUUAUUUUGCAGAUUUGAGUCAACAAGAGGAAGAAGAAGAAGGAGGAGGAGGAAUUGAUAAUAAGAGGAAUACCAAAAGAAGAACAAGAGUUUGAACAGUAGUAAUAGUAUUUGACUCUACACAUUCUCUCUCUCUCUCUCUCUCUCUCUCUCUCUCUCUCUCUCUCUCUCUCUCUCUCUCUCACACACACACACACACACACACACAGAGAA